rnacentral:rRNA from 1 species
UACGAAGGGUGCAAACGUUGUUCGGAUUCAUUGGGCGUAAAGGGUGCGUAGGUGGUGAUGCAAGUCUGGUGUGAAAUCUCGGAGCUCAACUCCGAAAUUGCACCGGAUACUGCGUGACUCGAGGACUGUAGAGGAGAUCGGAAUUCACGGUGUAGCAGUGAAAUGCGUAGAUAUCGUGAGGAAGACCAGUUGCGAAGGCGGAUCUCUGGGCAGUUCCUGACACUGAGGCACGAAGGCCAGGGGAGCAAACGGG